rnacentral:rRNA from 1 species
AAUGAACGUUGGCGGCGUGGAUUAGGCAUGCAAGUCGUGCGAGAAUCUCCCUUCGGGGAGAGGACAGCGGCGAAAGGGAGAGUAACGCGUGGUUACAUACCCUCGGGACCGGGAUAGUAGCGGGAAACUGCUAGUAAUACCGGAUAAUAUCUUUGGAUCAAAGGUGUGAUUCCGCCCGAGGAUUGGACCGCGUUCUAUUAGCUUGUUGGCGGGGUAAUGGCCCACCAAGGCGACGAUGGAUACCGGGUGUGAGAGCAUGGCCCGGCUCACUGGGACCGAGACACUGCCCAGACACCUACGGGUGGCUGCAGUCGAGAAUCUUCGGCAAUGGGGGCAACCCUGACCGAGCGACGCCGCGUGCGGGAUGAAGGCCUUCGGGUUGUAAACCGCUGUCAGUUGGGAGGAAGUGCCAGGGGGUUCUCCCCUUGGUUUGACCGAUCUUCAGAGGAAGGACGGGCUAAGUUCGUGCCAGCCGCCGCCGUAAAAC